AGGACGAAACGCUGGCGGCGUGCUUAACACAUGCAAGUCGAGCGGAAAGGCCCUUCGGGUACUCGAGCGGCGAACGGGUGAGUAACACGUGAGCAACCUGCCCUUAGCUUCGGGAUAGCUCCGGGAAACCGGAAUUAAAUACCGAAUAUGACUUUGGCUGACAUCAGCAGAAGUGGAAAGUUUUUCGGCUAGGGAUGGACUCGCGGCCUAUCAGCUAGUUGGUGAGGUAACGGCCCACAAGGCGACGACGGGGUA
rnacentral:rRNA from 1 species